CCCCCAUAGCAUCGAUCCUUCAUAAAUCACAUUGAUCACAUCUGCCAUCGGUUGAACAUGAGUUUCUUCCUCAGCAUACGACUAGGGCUGAGGAUCAGCAGGCAGCUGCACAGGUCGAUCUCGCAGAUAUUUUUUGAGAUAUCUCCACCUAAUCAAAGCUUCUAUCUCAUCUUUUAGUUGGAUAUACUGUUUGGUAUCAUGAUCGUGGUCUCGAUGGAACCGACAAUAUUAUUUCUUAUUCUGAGAUGUCGACAGUGCUUUUAUCAACUGGGGUCAUUAAAGGUAGAUCUCACCUUCUAUCUCCAUAAAGAUCUACGCACGAGGAGCAAUAAGAGGGGUGCAAGAGUUAUACCUGCUGUCGAAGUUCUUUGACUUCAGACUUGAUCGAUGAGGUGGAGCCUCCCCCUCAACAUGGGUUUUGCUAGGUCUCGCUGAGGUUCCACCUUUCUUCAUUCAUUUUUUAUCUUUAUCUUUGGAUUGGCAUCGGUCAGUUGCAUCUUCCUCAGUGCAAAUAUACUUUUGUGCGUGCUCAAGAAGUUUGGCAUA
rnacentral:lncRNA from 1 species